rnacentral:lncRNA from 1 species
CUGUAACACAGCUAUAGGAUCAUUCCUUCCAUCAGCCUGAUAUCUUCCCAGGAGAUCUCCAUUUCAAAAUGCCUGACAGCCCCAGGCUUAAGGCAGUUUCUUGGAAGAAUGGUAACUACAAUGGGACAAUCCAGCCGUUUACCAACAAAUGAACAGAACUUACAGAAGUGUACAUGAAUAGCCCUGUAACAUGAGCACCUUCACUGCACUGCCUGGUGAGGGAUGCACUGGGGCCGGCAGGAGUACAGCCUGACGCAGGACACCAGAGUCAGACAGUCAAGAACAGAAAAUUGGAUUUUUACAACCCAUUGGUAUCUCACCACCACCUUCUUCCAGAUCAACACUGCAAGGGCAACUGUCACUAUACACCGACUUAUUUUCAUUCUGUGAAGAUGGGAAGGGGAAUCCAAAAUACAAAGGAGAAAGGAGU